AAUAUGAUAUCAGAGUGUAAUGUCAGAAGAAGGUAAGCUAAAAACAUCUGUCUUAAAAACAAUCACAGUCAUAAAAGCUUAUGACAGCAUAAUGUGCAUUAAUUUUCUGAGAAAAACGUUUUCUUUUUAAAAAAGAUUUGGUUUUUAAAAAGACUCUGUCUGUCUAUCUUUUUCAGAAAGAAGGGGGGUCAUCUUCUAAUCAACGCUGUCUUAUAUUCAGGACAAUACAAUAUUUCAGUCAAUUCAGACACCAUAAUGUGAAGCGCUGCUAUUUCUUGCCUGGCAAGAGUUUACCAUUGCUUUGACACCGCAGACAUUUCAAAUCACAAUUUGAACGUGACAUAAACACCUGGCUCCCUCUAUUUUCAGCAGGAGCCUUCAGUUCUCCUCAUCCUCUGGCAAUCAAAUCACAAUUGUGCUAA